AAUUGAACAAGAGUUCCGCGGUCGGAGAUGACCGCAUUGAAGCCGGAUUUUUGAUUUAAAUGACAGGAAAGUACCUUUCGUGUUUUUGUCAAUGCAAUACUUAAAUUACUGAAAUAUUGUUCAAAGGUCAAAAUGAAAUGUAAGUACUUUUCAAGGCAUGAGCAAACCUUGUGUUAUGUUUUGAAUGCAUGCAUAUACAUGAACAACAAUAACAUUUAAGGUCACAGUGACCUUGACCUUAGAAUGAAUGACCUUGAAAUGACCAGUGGUCAUCUAAGUGUGCUUGCAAACCUUCA